rnacentral:rRNA from 1 species
UACGUAGGGUGCAAGCGUUGUCCGGAAUUAUUGGGCGUAAAGGGCUCGUAGGCGGUCCAUCGCGUCGGGAGUGAAAAGCUGGGGCUUAACCCCAGUCCUGCUUCCGAUACGGGUGGACUAGAGGUAGGUAGGGGAGAACGGAAUUCCUGGUGUAGCGGUGAAAUGCGCAGAUAUCAGGAGGAACACCGGUGGCGAAGGCGGCCUGCUGGGCAGUUUAGCUGACACUGAGGCGCGACAGCGUGGGGAGCAAACAGG